CUACGGGGUGCUCCAGUGAGGAAUAUUGCACAAUGGGGGGAACCCUGAUGCAGCAACGCCGCGUGGAGGAUGACGCAUUUCGGUGUGUAAACUCCUUUUAUAUGUCAAGAAAAUGACGGUAGCAUAUGAAUAAGCACCGGCUAACUCCGUGCCAGCAGCCGCGGUAAUACGGAGGGUGCAAGCGUUACUCGGAAUCACUGGGCGUAAAGGACGCGUAGGCGGGUUGGAAAGUCAGGUGUGAAAUCCUACAGCUUAACUGUAGAACUGCACUUGAAACUUCUAAUCUAGAGUAUGGGAGGGGGAGAUGGAAUUAGUGGUGUAGGGGUAAAAUCCGUAGAUAUCACUAGGAAUACCUAAAGCGAAGGCGAUCUCCCGGAACAUUACUGACGCUAAGGCGUGAAAGCGUGGGGAGCAAACAGGAUUAGAUACCCUCGUAGUC
rnacentral:rRNA from 1 species